GAUUUCCCAUUUCUUUAAGAAAGUAAGAUCCCUGAGAGAUGAUCAGGUAGAUAGGUCAGGAGUGGAAGUACAGUGAUGUAUGGAGCGGACUGAUACUAAUCGAUCGAGGACUUAACCAAU
rnacentral:rRNA from 1 species